GCCUCUGUAGCUCAGUUGGUUAGAGCGCUGUACGGGAAUCGCAGGGCCGUAGGUUCAAUUCCUACCAGAGGAC